GAGCGGUUUGGAUGAGAAGCUGAUUGCCGAAAGGACAGGUCACAGAUCGACAGCUAUUUGUGCGUACAAGAGAACAAGCGAGGGCAUGUUAAAGAGUGUUGAUGAUGUUGUCCAGAGGAAAACACCAGCAACUGCCACAUCAGCGACUAGCUCGCCAACACCUCACGUCUCCGACACCACUGACCCCAAGACGUCAAGACGCCAACUGUUCAAAUGCUAAAACUGUACACUUCGUUGUUGAACGGGACGGUGCAAGAGUGACAUUUGACAUGUAAUAAAGGGAUGAAAACAU